UGGGGAAUAUUGCACAAUGGGCGCAAGCCUGAUGCAGCCAUGCCGCGUGUAUGAAGAAGGCCUUCGGGUUGUAAAGUACUUUCAGUCGGGAGGAAGGUGUCAAGGUUAAUAACCUUGGCAAUUGACGUUACCGACAGAAGAAGCACCGGCUAACUCCGUGCCAGCAGCCGCGGUAAUACGGAGGGUGCAAGCGUUAAUCGGAAUUACUGGGCGUAAAGCGCACGCAGGCGGUUGAUUGAGUCAGAUGUGAAAUCCCCGGGCUUAACCCGGGAAUUGCAUCUGAUACUGGUCAGCUAGAGUCUUGUAGAGGGGGGUAGAAUUCCAUGGGUAGCGGUGAAAUGCGUAGAGAUGUGGAGGAAUACCGGUGGCGAAGGCGGCCCCCUGGACAAAGACUGACGCUCAGGUGCGAAAGCGUGGGGAGCAAACAGG
rnacentral:rRNA from 1 species